rnacentral:rRNA from 1 species
CGGUGAUAAACCGGAGGAAGGUGGGGACGACGUCAAGUCAUCAUGGCCCUUACGAGUAGGGCUACACACGUGCUACAAUGGCGCAUACAGAGGGCGGCCAACUUGCGAAAGUGAGCGAUCCCAAAAAGUGCGUCGUAGUCCGGAUUGGAGUCUGCAACUCGACUCCAUGAAGUCGGAAUCGCUAGUAAUCGUGGAUCAGAAUGCCACGGUGAAUACGUUCCCGGGCCUUGUACACACCGCCCGU